AAUAUUGCACAAUGGAGGGAACUCUGAUGCAGCAACGCCGCGUGAGUGAAGAAGGUUNNNGGAUCNUCAAACUCUGUCAUUGGNGACNAAUAAAUGACGGUACUCGAGGAGGAAGCCCCGGCUAACUACGUGCCAGCAGCCGCGGUAACACGUAGGGGGCGAGCGUUGUCCGGAAUUACUGGGCGUAAAGGGCGCGUAGGCGCCCUAAUAAGUCAGAUGUGAAACCCCCGGGCUUAACCCUGGGCUUGCAUUUGAAACUGUUGGGCUUGAGGACAGGAGAGGAAAGCGGAAUUCCCAGUGUAGCGGUGAAAUGCGUAGAUAUUGGGAGGAACACCAGUGGCGAAGGCGGCUUUCUGGACUGUAACUGACGCUGAGGCGCGAAAGCCAGGGUAGCGAACG
rnacentral:rRNA from 1 species